rnacentral:rRNA from 1 species
AUUGAACGCUGGCGGCACGCCUAACACAUGCAAGUCGAGCGGCAGCGAGACUAGUAGCAAUACUAGUUGUCGGCGAGCGGCGGACGGGUGAGUAACACGUAGGAAUCUGCCCUUAAGCGGGGGAUAACCAAGGGAAACUUUGGCUAAUACCGCAUAAUCUCGAGAGAGCAAAGCUGCCCGCAAGGGUGGCACUUGAGGAGGAGCCUGCGUCCGAUUAGCUAGUUGGUGGGGUAAUGGCCUACCAAGGCGAUGAUCGGUAACUGGUCUGAGAGGACGGCCAGUCACACUGGGACUGAGACACGGCCCAGACUCCUACGGGAGGCAGCAGUGGGGAAUAUUGGACAAUGGGGGCAACCCUGAUCCAGCGAUGCCGCGUGAGUGAAGAAGGCCUUCGGGUCGUAAAGCUCUUUAGGUUGGGAGGAAGGACUGUAGGCUAAUACCUUGCAGUUUUGACGUUACCGGCAGAAUAAGCACCGGCUAACUUCGUGCCAGCAGCCGCGGUAAAAC